UGUGGGAGCUGGCUUGCCUGCGAUGACAGUGUGUCAGGCAAAACAUCUGUUACUGAUGCACCGCUAUCGCAGGCAAGCCAGCUUCCACA
rnacentral:antisense_RNA from 1 species